NGUCGUGAUGAAGUUAAAAAUGACAAGCAUAUGGCUGAAUAUACCAUGUUGCUAUCUUCGCACUGAGAAG
ensembl:snoRNA SNORD27 Small nucleolar RNA SNORD27